UUAGUAAAGUAAAUAAGAUUAAAGUAUUCUGAUAUUCCAAGGUAUAAAUAACCAAACUGUGUAUGAUCCAAAGUUCCUUACAACUUAUUGCCAAGACAGGCUUAUUUAAAGACAACCUAAAUCUGACCAUCUAUGAAACACUCAGACAAACAUGAACAUCAAACACAACCAAUUAUGUUUUGGUGUCGUGUUCGUAUUGGUGCUACAUAGAUGAACAUGAUUAUAUAACUAUAACCAACUCCUCUUCCCACAAUAUUCAAUUAUUAUUUUCUCGUUUCUAUGAGUUAAGAGUCUUAUAUUUCUGUAUCCUAUUUCUUGAUCUUUCUAUUCUUCUUUGGACCCGGAACUUCUAACCUACCAACAGAACAACCACACUUUCCUCUA
rnacentral:lncRNA from 1 species